UUUUUUUUUUUUUUCAUUAAUAUCAGAUCUAUGGCUAUAAGAAACAAGAAUUGGGGGUUGUCACAAAAGCUGUGAGUUUCUCAGACUAUGAGUUGAUAGGAUAGUUAAUGGACUGGGUCUUGUCAUUUUAUUUUUGUACCGUAGUACACUUCAAAGAAUCCAUGCCAUACUACACUGCUUUUAGUCAUCUAACCACCAUAAAAGUCAAGUGUAAGCUUCCAAAGCUUGUACUUCAAUUGAUAUUUCAUUAUAGCUAAUCAUAGGUGAUGAAUUGUGAUGCUGUUACCUUUCAUGAUCAUCAACAUCCUAUUCUCCACGGCCACGCAGCUCAGCAUUUCACUAAGCCUGGGAAUUCAAACCAUCCAAAAUUCCUAUUUUUGUGUGUCUAUAUCCUGGCAUUACUUCUGGUACCAACUCUGUAACUGGGUUCAAUUAGGAGAGACUCCCUGAAGUAAAUUUGAAAAGAGGAAAGUUUAAAUGAAAAUUAAACAGGACUGGAGUAAUGGUGAAUUGGUUAAUGAGAGGUAAAGAGAACUUUUAAGAAUAUAACUUAAAAGAAGCAGCCAUUAUCCAUGAGGCUGAGAUAUAAAGCCCCAAGGAAUAGAUUCCUUACUCAGCAAGGUCAGGAUGCAGGUCUAUACUGGAGGGGACACAUCUAGAUGAUGCAUAUGUUAUUAAGAGGCUUGCUGGUAAAACUUGCUAGAAAUUGCAUUUAGUUUAUCAGGACAGGUCUUCAUAGGGAGGGAACAUGCCUUAAACUCACUAUAAAUUAACAAAACCAAAAUCUGAUUCUUUAAAAAGAUAAGAUCGAUAAACCUCCAGCCAGGGUAAUUGAGAAAAAAAGAGAAUACAAACUAUUAAUAUGAAUAAAGUGGGAGGGAGUUCCUGUCCUGGCGCAGAGGAAACAAAUCCAAUUAGGAACCAUGAGGCUGUGGGUUCAAUCCCUGGACUCGCUCAGUGGGUUAAGGAUCUGGCAUUGUCAUGAACUGUGGUGUAGGUUGCAGAUGCAGCUCGGAUCCUGUGUUGCUGUGGUUGUGACAUAGGCUGGCAGCUGUAGCUCUGUUUGGACCCCUAGCUUGGGAUUCUCCAUGUGCUGCAGAUGAGGAGACUAAAAAAUGAAAAAAAAAAUAAAGUGGGAGAAAUCACUACAGAGCCCAUGGACACUGAAAGGAUAAAUGAUUACUGUGAACAACUUUAUGCCCACAAAUAUGAUAACCUUGAUUAAAUGGACCAAUGCUUUGAAAGACAAAGUCUACAAAACUCACACAAGAAUAAACAAUCUUAAUUGACCUCUAUUCAUUAAAAAAUUGAAUCAAUAAUUGUAACCUUCCAAAACAGAAAACUCCUGGCCUAGAUGGGCUCAUUAGUGAGUUCUGCCAAACAUUUUAGAAAGGAUUUUUACCAAUUCUCUGAAAGUUCUUUCAGAGCAUAGAAGCAGAGGGAAUGCUUCUUAUUCUUUGUGACCAGAAUCACCCUAAUACCAAAAUCAGUCAAAGAUGUUACAAGAAAACUAUAGACCAAUAUCUAUCAUGAAUAUAGAUGCAAGUGUCUUCAACCAAAUCCAACACAAAAAAUUAGAUGGCAUGGCAAAGUUGGGUUUGUCUCAGUUAUAUAAAGGUGGUUCAAUUUUAAAAAUUACUGUAAUUUAUCACAACAGACAAAAAUCACCUGAUCAUAUCAAUAGGUGCAGAAAAUGCAUUUGACAAAACUCAACACCCAUGCAUGAUAAAAACUCUCAGCAAACUAGGAUUAUCAGGAAACUUCCUCAAAUUGAGAAAAAAAUCUAUAAAAAACAGUUGAAAUAAUUCUUAUGGGUAAUAAAUUUGAAGUUUUCCCACUAAGGUACAAAGAAAGGACGAUUUCUCUCACCACUCUUUUUCAACAGAGUUCUGGAACUUCUAGUUAGUGGAAUAAGAAAAGUAAAGGAAAUAGAAGGUCUAUAUAUUGAAAAGCAAGACACAAUAUUGCCUGUUUCCCAGAUGACACAAUUAUCUACGUUGAAAGUCCAAAAGAAUCCCACCACCAAAAAAAAAAAAAAAAACUCUUGAAACUAAUAAGCAAUUAUAGCAAGUUUGCAAAAUACAGAUGUCAAUUGCUUAUAUAUGAGCACUGAACAAUGAGAAUUUAAAAUUUAAAAAAGUUAUUAUGAAAUUACCUUUUCAGUUAGCACCCAAAAUGUGAACUCUCAGGUAUGAGUCUAAAAAAUGUUUACAAGACCUAUAAGAGGGAAACUAUAAAACCAAUUAAAGUAAUUAAAAGAAAUAAAUGGAGAUUCCAUGUUCAUGAAUAGAAAGACAAUAUUGUCAAGAUGUUGUUCUUUCCAACUUGAUUUAUUGAUUAAAUGUAGUCCCAGUCAAAAUCACAACAAAUCAUUUUGUGUAUAUUGACAAACUUAUUCUAGAGUUUGUAUGGGGAAGCAAAAGACCCAAAGUAGCCAAAAUAAUACUGAAGUAGAAUAAAAUUGGAGAGGUGACACUACCUGACUUGAACACCUAUUAUAAAACUACAGUAACCAAGUCAGAGUGGUGUUGGUAAAAGCAUAGGAAAGUAGAUGAAUGGAAUAGAAUAUAGAGCCCAGAAAUAUACCCCACAUUAAUACAGUCAACUUACUUUUUUAUAAAGGAACAAAAGCAAUAGAGUGGAGCAAAGAUAGUCUUUUCAAUAAAUGGCGCUGGAACAGCUGGACAUCCACGAGCAAAAAAAGAAAAAAUAUAUAUAUAUAUGUAUGAACCUAUACUCUUAUUACCUCACAAAAAUAUGAAGUUAUAAUUUUAGACUUUAGUAUAAAAUGCAAAAAUAUAAAACUCUUAUAAGAAGAUAACCUAUAUGAAAACCUAGGUGACCUUGUGUACGGUAAUGAUUUUUUGUAUAUAAUACCAAAGGCACAAUCCAUAAAAAACUGAUGUUUGAAUUUAUCUAGAUUUAAAACUUGAAUGAAAAAAAAAUAAAAAAUAAAACUUGUAUGCAAUAAACUAUGUAAAGAGAAUUAGAGAAAAGCCAGAAACUGGAAAAAAUAUAUGCAAAAGACACAUCUAAUAAAGGACAUUUUUCCAGAACACACCAAGAACACAUAUAACUCAACAGUACGACAGCAGACUAUCCAAUUAAAAAUGGUCCAAAAGAGCUUAACAGACACCUUACCAAAGAAGAUAAACAGAUUGCAAAUAGGAGGUUAAAAAAUUUACUACACCCCACGUCAUCAAAGAAAUAGAAAUUAAAGCAGUAAUGAGACACUACUACACACCUAUUAAAACGGCCAGUUCCAGAACACUGACAACCCCAAAUGCUGAUGAGUGUGUAGAGCCACAGGAACUCUCAUACACUGUUGGUGGGGAUGCAGAAUGGUACAGUUAUUUUGGAAGACAAUUUGGAGAUUUCUUACAGAAUAAAAUAAACACUUAGGUUCACACAAAAGCCAGCACAUGGAUAUAUAAGCAGCUUUAUUCAUAAUUGCCAAAACUUGGAAGCAACCAAGAUAGUCUUCCGUAGCUGAAUGGAUCAAUGAACUGGUGUAUCCAGAAUGGAAUAUUACUCAGCACUAAAAAUGAGCAAUUAAGACAUGAAAAGAUGUGCAGGAAUUAAAUGUAGAUUAUUAAAUAAAAGAAGUCAAUCUGAAAAAUCUACAUACUGUUGUGUUUGUAGACUAGGCAAAAUCACGUUGAGAGUGAAGAGAGCAGUGGUUUCUAAAGGUAGUGGGGAGAGUAGAGAGAUGAAAGGGCAGAGCACAGAGGAUUUUUAGGGAGGAUAAAACACUCUGUCUGAUAUAAUAGUGAUAGAUCCAUGUCAUAUGUUUGCCCAAACCAAAAGACUAUAUACCAAAAGUACACUUUAACAUAAUCUAAGGACUUGAGGUGAUUGUGAUGUGUCAGUCUAAGUUCAUCAGCGGUUAAAAAAAAAAGUACCAGUUUGCUGGAGGAUGUUGCUAAUGAGGGAUGUUAUGCAUGUUCAGGGUGAGUGGUAUAUAGGAAGUCUCUGGACCUUUUUCUCUCAAUUUUUCUGUGAACUUAAAACUUCUUUUAAAAAAUUUUGUCUUAAAAAAAUCCUCAUUGUAAACUCACCUGUAGAGAUAUUAUCAAGUCUGUCCAUGGGCAAGUGCCUUAUCUGUGGCAUUCCACUGGAAAUCUGCCAAGGGAAAUGCCAGAGGAAUCUGUUCGCUGAUGCUUCUCUCCCCUGCGUGAAGGACCCAGAUAGCAAGGAUAGGUCAGCAGCAGCUGAAUGCUGGGGAAAAUGUAUCAUGCUGAAGUCAGAUACUAGAGAAAGCUAUGUGCUUCAAGAAACACACAGGUGAGAAUCAUGUACUUUAUUGAUCUAUGCGCUGAAGAGCGUGUCCUUUGCAGUACCUAGAAAUGCACAGAAAUGUGCCAACUCAGAAGCCUAGUUCCAGUAAAAUCAAUAUUGGAGACAUCUGGCAAGGAGAUAAACAGCUACCAGGAAGAAAACACACCUUCCUCUUGUGUUUCUUGAGCACCCUCUACUAACUUGCCUUAACAUUGUAGUAAGUGGCAAAGAAGACACUGACAGAACGACCUCCCUUAUUACAGAGCAGACUAAAAAAGGUCCUUCUGUGUAUGAGAGGUAAUAAAUUUAUAACCCAUAGCAUUGCUGUAGUACUGGCCUACACCUUAAUGUGAAUUACUGCAUAUUAAAUACUAAGGAGUCAAAAGAGACCUCAUGUGAUUUCUAAACAUGCCCUAAAGGAUGGGGCAAUGGCUUCAGCGUUACUAAUCAUGUGCCCUUCGGCAAGUUCUCCUCUAAGCUUCUGUUCCUAAACCUCAAGAUGAAGGGAGAUUGUUGUGUGUUGUCAAUUGUAAAGAGCUAUAGACAUAGAUUCUCACAUCAUUUUUAUUACUGGAAAAAAUAUUCCAUGGGGGAACAUGAUGAUGGUUUGUGAAGAGUCUUUCAUGCAUGAAAUAAAUUAGAUGUGUUUUUGAAAUUCUUACUGUGGAUUUUGAAAUGUCUUACAUAUAUAAAGGAAACAGGCCAUCUUGAGCUCUUUCAUUGCUUUAAAAGAUUUUUUUCCUAUUAGACAUUUUCCUAGGAUAUGUGUGAAAUCAGUUGAAACUUGUGAUUUUGUUUCCUCUAUUCAUGCCUCCAUGUGCAUAUAUGCACACACAAAUAUCUCCAUGUCUGUAUGUAGCAGGGGUAGAAAAGAAACACACGUGUGCUAUAACUU
rnacentral:lncRNA from 1 species